ACGAGUAGCAAUACUUGGUGGCGACCGGCGCAAGGGUGCGUAACGCGUGAGCAACAUGCCCGUAUCAGGGGGAUAAUCCAGGGAAACUUGGUCUAAUACCCCAUAGUAAUCAUAUCAGGCAUCUGGUAUGAUUUAAAGCUUAGGUGGAUACGGAUUGGCUCGCGUGACAUUAGCUAGAUGGUAAGGUAACGGCUUACCAUGGCUAUGAUGUCUAGGGGUUCUGAGAGGAAGGUCCCCCACACUGGAACUGAGACACGGUCCAGACUCCUACGGGAGGCAGCAGUGAGGAAUAUUGGACAAUGGAUGGAAAUCUGAUCCAGCCAUGCCGCGUGAAGGACGACGGUCCUAUGGAUUGUAAACUUCUUUUGUAUGGGAGCAAUAAGGUCUACGUGUAGAUCGAUGAGAGUACCAUACGAAUAAGCAUCGGCUAACUCCGUGCCAGCAGCCGCGGUAAUACGGAGGAUGCGAGCGUUAUCCGGAUUUAUUGGGUUUAAAGGGUGCGUAGGCGGUUGUAUAAGUCAGCGGUGAAAUCUUCCGGCUUAACCGGGAGACUGC
rnacentral:rRNA from 1 species